GGAAGUAAAAGAACAAGGUCUCCGUUGGUGAACCAGCGGAGGGAUCAUUACAGGACUCGCAAGACUCCUACAACCCUGUGAACUUAACUAUAAGCACGUUGCUUCGGCGGGUGUCUCGGAGGGGGUUCUCCCUCCCCGAGACGCUAAACCCGCCGGCAGCCUACUAUACUCUGUCUCUUUGCGUUGGCAUCUCGAGUACAAUCAAACAAGUUAAAACUUUCAACAACGGAUCUCUUGGUUCUG
rnacentral:misc_RNA from 1 species